rnacentral:rRNA from 1 species
AUUGAACGCUGGCGGCAUGCCUUACACAUGCAAGUCGAACGGCAGCACGGGAGCAAUCCUGGUGGCGAGUGGCGAACGGGUGAGUAAAGCAUCGGAACGUACCCAGUCGUGGGGGAUAACGUAGCGAAAGCUACGCUAAUACCGCAUACGAUCUGUGGAUGAAAGCGGGGGACCGUAAGGCCUCGCGCGAUUGGAGCGGCCGAUGUCAGAUUAGGUAGUUGGUGAGGUAAAGGCUCACCAAGCCGACGAUCUGUAGCUGGUCUGAGAGGACGACCAGCCACACGGGGACUGGGACACGGCCCAGACUCCUACGGGGGGCAGCAGUGGGGAAUUUUGGACAAUGGGGGCAAGCCUGAUCCAGCAAUGCCGCGUGCAGGAUGAAGGCCUUCGGGUUGUAAACUGCUUUUGUACGGAGCGAAACGGCUUCCACUAAUACUGGGGGCUAAUGACGGUACCGUAAGAAUAAGCACCGGCUAACUACGUGCCAGCAGCCGCGGUAAGAC